CCACCUCUUGGCUCGGCCUCCUCCUUCCCUUCCCUCCCCCCACCUCCAGCCACACCCGUUCGACCACCUGCCGGAUCCCGCGUCGCCACGUCUGCAUCGCUCCGGUCUUCUCCCACAACUCACGCAUCGCAACGGCGCUCGCGCCCGCGCGGUCUCCUCCAUGACCUCUCUCCCUUGCGGCGGCGGCAUCACACAUGACGCAUCCGACGGCGAGCUCCACAGGUCAACGCAUCCUCUCUUCUCUCCCAUGGAAGUCCCUCCCCUCUCACAUCUCUCUCUGUCUGCGAGCGGUGGCGGCCGGCUACGCGAGAGGUCAAUCUGGUCACGCCUUCCCACCAUCGACCACGCUACGUCGCUAUCGGAGGGGCACCCUGCCGCUGUCGGGGACUCGCCAUCAUUGAAGCACGCCACCACGCCGCCGCUCUUCUGUCUCUCCCUGCUCGCCUCCCGCGGCCAAGACUGACCGCAUCCUGCACAAUCUUCGUCCGUCCCUCGAUUCCGACCCACCUGCGUGAAACAGACCGGCGAAGAAAUUUGGGCGCACAUCUCGCCUCACCAAAAGAAUAAGAUUGCUUACCUCUCGCGCGUAUGACUUGGGGCGGCGGCGGCCGCCGCGGCCGUCAGCCGUUCAGAGCCUCCCACGACGGCACCAACAUCGGGCGGCCAAAGCCCAGCAUCAACGCCCAUUCCUUUUUUGCGUGUGCACUCUCCUCCAUUGAAUCCCCCUUCUCCAGCGCGCAUGGAGGAACCGUUGGAUCGAUGGCGUGCGUCUCUGCAUGUGUGUGCGAGUGGGCAUACGUGAUCUGUCCAUGGCGGGCAUGCGAGUGUGCUGUGUUGGGCGUGUUUGUCCCGUGGAUGCCCUGUGCACCUGCAGGAUCCAGACGGCUGUCUGUGGUCGAGCUCCGCCAUCCUGCGCCGUAGGACUGACCCAGGCGACCUGAUCAGAGCAGCAGAUCGAUGGCCAUGAAGAUGGAGCCUGGAGCCAAGUAGCAGCUUUCCGGUUUAAGCUAGCUGAUGUAGAUGGAUAACGCUGUCGCCGCUAAUCAAGGGCGCGGGGGGUGGCCAGGCGUGGCUGGGUGGUGACCUCGUGCAGAUCGCAAUCUGGAAGUAGGAAAAGGAGGUGCGUGUGUGCUGUGUUCAGGUACUGCAUGCCUGCAGCCAAUCCAUUUAUGAGAAUUGUAACUUUCUUUUCAAUUUCCUCACAGCAAUCUUAUUCUUUGCAAGGAAUUUGAACUCUAUUUCAACGUGAUCGACAUCCCAUUGUGAUGCACCGUCAGAUUGUUACCGUUUUUUUGGAGAAAGUUUGAUAUGAUUUUUCAUGGAAGGAUUUGCCUGUAUUAAAUGCCUUACUGAAUAUAGCAUCGGUUGCUUGAUUAGCAUUACUUCUUGAAGGACAAAACUAUUGAUUCUUUUUGGCUACAGAAAAAAGUUUUGGAUGCAGAGCUGGGUGGUUUCUUCAUAGAACUAAGGAGCCAGUAAAAAAACAUGAGAAUUCGUCACCUGUCUUAGCCAUCGCAACCUCCUGAACAAGGUUCCAAAGUUUGGCCGCAGCUAGCUUGAUAUGGAGACAUUUCCUGUUAGGAGUUAAACUUUGGUUUGGAGGCAUCGAGCUUUGGCUGUAACUAGCUUUGUUACUUGAUAUACCUCUGUCAGCAUUCAGGAGCCGGGUAGUUGUUGAGCGGGUUGUGUGAGAGGCGGUCGGCGAGCACGGGCUAGACGGGAAGGUGAUGCUUGCAAUGGCGACCAUGCCGGUGGGCAGGGCAAGGUCGAUUGUGUCCAUCAUGGUGUUUCCGAGGGGGAGCGAGGCAUCUACCAUCGCGCAUCUGAAGAAGUCGACGCUCGGGGCGAGGUUGACCACCGUGGCCGGCGUGAAAGCGGACGGACUUAAAGGCAUUGGAUGCUUGAUUAGCAUUACUUCUUGAAGGACAGAACUAUUGAUUCUUUUUGGCUGCAGCAAAAAGUUUUGGAUGCAGAGCUGGGUGGUUUCUUCAUAGUACUAAGGAGCCAGUGAAAAAACAUGAGAAUUCGUCACCUGUAUUAGCCAUCGCAACCUCCUGAACAAGGUUUGCCAGCAUCUAGCUUAAUCCUUGUGAAUGGUUGGUAGCAGAUCUAUCUUACAAGCAGAAAACAUCUACUUUGUAUUUUAGUUUUCUGAAUUACAUUCAUCCCUAGCUGCACUUACAGGUCAAAAACACCCACAUACUUCAGUUUUCACAGCCAGCAGACCUAGAAAAAAAUA